GUGUCAGCAGCCGCGGUAACACGUAGGGUGCAAGCGUUGUCCGGAUUUAUUGGGCGUAAAGAGCUCGUAGGCGGCUUGUCGCGUUGAUCGUGAAAACCCGAUGCUUAACGUCGGGCUUGCGGUUGAUACGGGCUGGCUGGAGUGUGGUAGGGGAGACUGGAAUUCCUGGUGUAGCGGUGAAAUGCGCAGAUAUCAGGAGGAACACCGGUGGCGAAGGCGGGUCUCUGGGCCAUUACUGACGCUGAGGAGCGAAAGCGUGGGUAGCGAACAGGAUUAGAUACCCCCGUAGUCC
rnacentral:rRNA from 1 species